rnacentral:siRNA from 1 species
CACGACCUGGGAUGACUGCA